rnacentral:rRNA from 1 species
AUUGAACGCUGGCGGCAGGCCUAACACAUGCAAGUCGAACGAGUGGCGGACGGGUGAGUAAUGUCUGGGAAACUGCCCGAUGGAGGGGGAUAAGUACUGGAAAAGGUAGCUAAUACCGCAUACCAUCGGAUGUGCCCAGAUGGGAUUAGCUAGUAGGUGGGGUAACGGCACACCAAGGCGACGAUCCCUAGCUGGUCUGAGAGGAUGACCCGCAACACUGGAACUGGGACGCGGUCCAGACUCCUACGUGAGGCAGCAGUGUGAAAUAUUGCACAAUGGGCGAAAGCCUGAUGCGGCCAUGCCGCGUGUAUGAAGAAGGCCUUCGGGUUGUAAAGUACUUUCAGCGGGGAGGCGUUACCCGCAGAAGAAGCACCGGCUAACUCCUUGCCAGCAGCCGCGGUAUAC